UUGGAGGGCAAGUCUGGUGCCAGCAGCCGCGGUAAUUCCAGCUCCAAUAGCGUAUAUUAAAGUUGUUGCAGUUAAAAAGCCCGUAGUUGAAUUUCGGGAUUAGUACGCUGGUCGUGCCUUCGGUGCGUACUGGUGUUACUGAUUUCUACCUUCUGACGAACCAUCAUGUCAUUAAUUUGGUGUGGUGGGGAAUCAGGACUGUUACUUUGAAAAAAUUAGAGUGUUUAAAGCAGGCUCGCGCUUGAAUACAUUAGCAUGGAAUAAUGAAAUAGGACGUUGAUCCUAUUUUGUUGGUUUCUAGGAUUGACGUAAUGAUUAAUAGGGAUAGUUGGGGGCAUUAGUAUUCAAUUGUCAGAGGUGAAAUUCUUGGAUUUAUUGAAGACUAACUACUGCGAAAGCAUUUGCCAAGGAUGUUUUCAUUAAUCAAGAACGAAAGUUAGGGGAUCGAAGACGAUCAGAUACCGUCGUAGUCUUAACCAUAAACUAUGCCGACUAGGGAUCGGAUGAUGUUAUUUUUAAUGACUCAUUCGGCGCCUUACGGGAAAC
rnacentral:rRNA from 1 species